rnacentral:rRNA from 1 species
CCUACGGGAGGCAGCAGUGAGGAAUAUUGGUCAAUGGGCGCGAGCCUGAACCAGCCAAGUAGCGUGAAGGGUGACUGCCCUACGGGUUGUAAACUUCUUUUAUAAAGGAAUAAAGUGAGGCAAGUGUGCCUUUUUGUAUGUACUUUAUGAAUAAGGAUCGGCUAACUCCGUGCCAGCAGCCUCGGUAAUACGGAGGAUCCGAGCGUUAUCCGGAUUUAUUGGGUUUAAAGGGAGCGUAGAUGGGUUGUUAAGUCAGUUGAGAAAGUUUGCGGCUCAACCGUACAAUUGCAAUUGAUACUGGCAGCCUUGAGUACAGUUGAGGGAGGCGGAAUUCGUGGUGUAGCGGUGAAAUGCUUAGAUAUCACGAAGAACUCCGAUUGCGAAGGCAGCUUACUAAACUGCCACUGACGUUGAUGCUCGAAAGUGUGGGUAUCAAACAGGAUUAGAUACCCGUGUAGUC